rnacentral:misc_RNA from 1 species
GAAAUGCGAUAAGUAGUGUGAAUUGCAGAAUUCAGUGAAUCAUCGAAUCUUUGAACGCACAUUGCGCCCUUUGGUAUUCCUUAGGGCAUGCCUGUUCGAGCGUCAUUUUAACCUUCAAGCUCUGCUUGGUGUUGGGUGUCUGUCCUGCCUCCGGGCGUGGACUCGCCUUAAAAUUAUUGGCGGCCGGUACAUUGGCUUCGAGCGCAGCAGAAACGCGAACUCGGGGUCGGUGUGGUGGCUCCCAUAAGCAUUUUUUAUAAUCUUGACCUCGGAUCAGGUAGGGAUACCCGCUGAACUUAA